rnacentral:rRNA from 1 species
CACGUAGGGGACGAGCGUUGUCCGGAUUCAUUGGGCGUAAAGCGCGCGUAGGCGGACCUGCAAGUCGGGGGUGAAAGCCCGAGGCUCAACCUCGGAACUGCCUUCGAUACUGCGGGUCUCGAGUCCGGGAGAGGUGAGUGGAAUUCCUAGUGUAGAGGUGAAAUUCGUAGAUAUUAGGAAGAACACCAGUGGCGAAGGCGGCUCACUGGCCCGGUACUGACGCUGAGGCGCGAAAGCGUGGGGAGCAAACAGG